AUGGAUGGGAGCACCCCCAGAUCCUACUGGAGGCCGGGAGGGGGAGGGGCUCGGAGUCCGUGCCUGGUGCCCGGUGGGGAUGGGGGGUGGAUACAGCACGGAGCCCCGGUGCCGGGGGGGUCGGGGCGGGGCGGGGCGGGGCGAGGUUAUGUAAGGCGGCGAUUAACGGGGCCGGGCCGGGCGGCGGCGCGAUGGGAGCAGCCAGCAGCGGGUCCGGCCCGGGGCCCCCCCAGAGCCGCUCCGUGGGGUCGUGGGUGCGGGCGCUGCUCCGCCGGAGCGGGUCGGUCCAGGGGCCGGUGCCGGUGCCGGGUCUCGCUGUGGCCACCGAGGAGCCGCCGCCGUUCCCGGGGUGGCCGCUGCCGCAGCUCGUCUCGCUCUUCCUGCCGGAGUUCCCCGUGCGUCCCUCCGCCCGGCAGCAGCAGCUCAAGGUGCCGUCCGGGAGCCGAUGCAGCGAACCGGGGAACCCUCCGCUUCACCGGGGAGUCCGCGCGCCCCGGGUGCCUCCCGACGGGUCCCCUCGCGCCCUAUGCUGGCUGUGUCUAUGUCCUACCGGGAUCUCCGUGCGUCCUGUUUGGAUCCCCGGGGAUCUGCGGGGUCUCUGCGCUCCGUGCAGGGUCCCCGUGCAUCCUACAGGAGUCCGCAGCCGUCUC
rnacentral:lncRNA from 1 species